rnacentral:rRNA from 1 species
UACGGGGGGAGCAAGCGUUGUUCGGAUUUACUGGGCGUAAAGGGCGCGUAGGCGGCCACCGCAAGUCGACUGUGAAAUCUCCGGGCUUAACCCGGAAAGGUCAGCCGAUACUGCGGGGCUAGAGUGCAGAAGGGGCAACCGGAAUUCUCGGUGUAGCGGUGAAAUUCGUAGAUAUUGGGAAGAACACCGGUGGCGAAGGCGGCGCUCUGGACCGAGACUGACGCUGAGGCGCGAAAGCGUGGGGAGCAAACAGG